AACCAUAGAAACCUGCGGAGUACCUGCGGAGGGAUCAUUAUAGUAUAUGGAAUCUCCAUUCUAUAAACCCACUCUGCGUAUCUUGUAACUGUUGCUUCCAUGGGACUUGGUUCCGCCACACCGGCUUCACGGCUGGUGAGCGCCCAUGGAAGGAGAAACAAAACUCUUCUUUGAAAUGUAGCCAGUCUGAACAAGUUUUUAUAAACGUUAAAACUUUCAGCAAUGGAUCUCAGAUCGGAA
rnacentral:misc_RNA from 1 species